ACGCUCUUCCUUCCUUGAACAGACUUUCAGGGAACCAAACCCAACUUUGAAAGCCGUGUUCUUUACUUCCCAAAAACAAAGAAAAGCCGUGUUCUUUGCAAAAGGUUUCUUAUUAUUUCCUUUUUUGGGUCAUACUCAUACAUACUGUUCUUUGCAAAAAGCUUGAUCUGCUCAGGUUUGGGUUUUUCUGUUUGGUUUCAAAGGAAAUUCAGCCUCAAGUUUUGUACUUUCCAGUGCUCAGGUCAGUCGUGAUCUUUCAUUUCUCGGGAACCAAACAAGAAUAGCAUUUCUUGUUGCUAAUGCCUCCAGAAUGUUAGUGUUUCUCAGUCACUCUGGUUGACACUACCAUUACACGGUUUACAAUUUGCUUGGAGAUUAGCAGUUCUUGUUGGAGAAGUUCUGUCAUGUUCUCAUGGUUGAGCUUCAUUUUUGCAUUUGUUAGCCUGGCAGCUCGAGUACAGAAAACACUGCAAGGUUCAUCUGACGAUAUUGGAUGGUUGCCGCGCGCUCUUGGCAUGCCUGGUGUGGAGGAUGGUACAGCAAGAUUCUUGGAACUGCUUGCAGGAAUAAGGAAUGGGGAGCACACAUUGCCUAGCUCAUUUGUCUAUCUGCUUAUUCCGGGUGAAGAAAAUUUAUUUUUCUCUUUUGGACUUUGUUCUUCUCCCCUGUUCAAUCGACAUUUAGUGUUUUGGCACCUAUAGUUAUGGGAACUUUGAUUUUCCAAGCCUCUGGCAAUCACGGCAUCGUAUACUUUGUUGGAACAAAGAAAUUCUUUUCGAAGAUGGAUCUAGCUUGUCAUAUUGCAAAAAUUCAGAGUGAGGCAUCUGUUGAGCACAAUGCAUGGGAACUCAAGCAAUAUAUUGAGGAGUUUUACUGGGAAUCCGGUAAGCGUGUGAUGCUGCUGGGCAAAACAAGGAAGGUGAGAAGCCUGUAUUCCAACGAAGUAUAAUGCCGACAAAGCUUAUGCAUGAUACAUUCAUUGCUUUUUUCUUUCCUUCUUUAUUUUAGCUUUCGCAUCUUGUUCCAUUACUCAUAGAUUGAGUUAGGAGCAAAAUCUUUAUGAAAUACAGUUACCUAACAAUCACGUUUAUUCCACAAUACCAAAAAUCCUUUUUUCAUGAAACUAAAAUGUACAUAAAUGUUGGAUGAAAAACCGUAUCAUUUCUAGUUCCCAACUAUCUGUUUAAAUUCGUUUUCCCAACGUAAAUGUUAUACUGCAUUUGUCUCAU